GGAUGUGAGGGCUAUCUGGCUGCAACAUCUGUCACCCCAUUGAUUGCCAGGGUUGAUUCGGCUGAUUUGGCUGGCUAGGCAGGUGUCCCCUUCCUCCCUCACCUCUCCAUGUGCACCCCCCCCCCCCCAAGCUGGGCCCCCAGGGGAAGAGGACAACCAUCCCAGAUAGAAGGAAUGUACUGAUCUUCGGUCAAGGGUAUACAAUAGCUCCCCUGCUAGAACCUCCAAGCCCAAUGAACUGGCUCUUCUUUGAUGGUACUUGGAUGUUACUGCUUUUCUUGCUUCCUCAUCAUAGUUCCCAUGUGUGACUA
rnacentral:snRNA from 1 species